GAUGAACGCUAGCGGCAGGCUUAACACAUGCAAGUCGAGGGGUAUAGUAGCAAUACUAGAGACCGGCGCACGGGUGCGUAACGCGUAUGCAACCUACCUUUUACAGAGGGAUAGCCCCAGAGAAAUUUGGAUUAAUACCUCAUAGUGUUAUUAGAUGGCAUCAUUUGAUAACUAAAGUUCCAACGGUAAAGAUGGGCAUGCGUCCUAUUAGCUAGAUGGUAAGGUAACGGCUUACCAUGGCUACGAUGGGUAGGGUCCUGAGAGGGAGAUCCCCCACACUGGUACUGAGACACGGACCAGACUCCUACGGGAGGCAGCAGUGAGGAAUAUUGGACAAUGGGCGCAAGCCUGAUCCAGCCAUGCCGCGUGCAGGAUGACGGUCCUAUGGAUUGUAAACUGCUUUUGACAGGAAGAAACACUCCCUCGUGAGGGAGCUUGACGGUACUGUAAGAAUAGGAUCGGCUAACUCCGUGCCUGCAGCCG
rnacentral:rRNA from 1 species